rnacentral:sRNA from 21 species
GUGAACUACCACUGAGCUGAAGACGCAGUGGCUUCUUCGGGAGCCACUGAAGACUCAGUUCAGUAGCUUCGCAAGAAGCCUGAGUUCACCAGACUCCUCAUCAGAAAUGGUGAGACCGUUUGAAAGGUCAUGACACCUGCGGUUGACGCAUCAGACCGCUGCUCUGUC